ensembl:lncRNA
UGUGUGUGUUCUAGGUGAGGUCUGGUUUUUAUGUGAAGGUGUGUGUUCUAGGUGAGGUCUGGUUUUUCUGUGAAGGUGUGUGUUCUAGGUGAGGUCUGGUUUUUAUGUGAAGGUGUGUGUUCUAGGUGAGCUUUGGUUUUUAUGUGAAGGUGUGUGUUCUAGUUGAUGUCUGGUUUUUAUGUGAAGGUGUGUGUUCUAGUUGAUGUCUGGUUUUUAUGUGAAGGUGUGUGUUCUAGUUGAGGUCUGGUUUUUAUGUGAAGGUGUGUGUUCUAGGUGAGGUCUGGUUUUUAUGUGAAGGUGUGUGUUCUAGGUGAGGUCUGGUUUUUAUGUGAGGGUGUGUGUUCUAGGUGAGGUCUGGUUUUAAUGUGAAAGUGUGUGUUCUAGGUGAGGUCUGGUUUUCAUGUGAGGGUGUGUGUUCUAGAUGAGGUCCUUCACAAGACGUCCACAAAUAAGCACUCAUUAAAACUUCUUAGUGAUCCCUUCG